rnacentral:rRNA from 1 species
ACAGCUCAAAUUUGAAAGCUAGCUCUUUUAGGGUUCGCAUUGUAAUUUGUAGAAGAUGCUUUGGGUGUGGCUCCGGUCUAAGUUCCUUGGAACAGGACGUCAUAGAGGGUGAGAAUCCCGUACGUGACUGGGUGCCUUCGCUCGUGUAAAGCUCUUUCGACGAGUCGAGUUGUUUGGGAAUGCAGCUCAAAAUGGGUGGUAAAUUUCAUCUAAAGCUAAAUAUUGGCCAGAGACCGAUA